rnacentral:ncRNA from 1 species
GUAGAUAGAGGUUGCAUUUUUCAUCAGUAGGAUGCCGGAUGUUUCAGGGACAGAAGAAGACAUUCCAAAGGGAAAGAUGCCGAAAGGAGAAAGUGCCUGACAUUUUUUCCUUGGGCAUGGCGUGAAAAACGACAUGACUGUCAUCGCAAGAUGGAGAGCUAUCUGA